UACGGAGGUUGCGAGCGUUGUUCGGAAUAACUGGGCGUAAAGGGAGCGCAGGCGGUCUCGUAAGUCUAAAGUGAAAUGCCAGGGCUCAACCUUGGACGUGCUUUGGAUACUGCGAGACUUGAGUACGUGAGAGGAGAGUGGAAUUCCAGGUGUAGCGGUGAAAUGCGUAGAUAUCUGGAGGUACACCGGUGGCGAAAGCGGCUCUCUGGCACGUUACUGACGCUGAGGCUCGAAAGCGUGGGGAGCGAACGGG
rnacentral:rRNA from 1 species